UCCCACACAUGCAUAUGACAUCAGAGAGCUAUUCACCUGUGAUGUAUGUGUCAUUUAUGGUUGUGGUAGUGGAAUUUAACAAGUGAAAUUAACAUUCAGAUAUUUAACUUGGAUUACUUAACACUUGUUUCUAUAAAUCGCUACACAAAAGAUGCUGAUGACCUAGCACGAUGACCAUGUCACAGUCGUCAGAGAACAACUUGCCGACGACACAGAGUGCUACGGACUCGUCGACGCGUUCGUCCUCCUUCAACCUGGGACAGUCCACCACCAUACACUUCGAGGCAGAACAGAACAAUAAUGACAAAAAAACCCAUGACGCACGCGCACUCUGCCCUGGAUACCAUUCAAUGUGGGCGAUGCGUUGCGGUGCUUGCCAGCUGGCCUGUGGAUUUAUCCUGACUGUAUUAGGCGUCACAGCGUACUGUCUAUAUUUUGAUGACUUCUGGAAGAAACACAGUCCGAAUAAUUAUUACGAUGUACCAAUAGAUCAACGGAUGCAUCGUUCACAAAUUGGGAUCUGGGGCGGGGUUUUCACCAUGACUACUGGAAUUGUGGGUAUUUUGUCGGCCAUUUUGAAAAGGCGAUAUGUUAUUGUGCUGUGUUUGGUUAUGUCAGUGAUAUCUGCUCUGGCAGGAGCCGCCACGAUAGCUAUAGCUAUACUUUCUAUAAACACAGACAGAAACGUGUUAGUCGAUGGCUAUCUUGCCAGCAACCAGACAAACAAUGUUGCUUACGCGUUAGUUUGGAUGGAAAUCUUAAAAAGCCGUUUCGCUGUCAACGCGAGUUUGAUCGUUGUGGCAUUAGUGGAAAUAGUGCCAGCGCUUUUGCAAAUUAUCUUCUGCGGUCGGGCACGGCGAAAGUCUGCAGAUCUAACUGGCGGGAUGAGGAUGAACCAAGACAUCCCUAAAGGACUGACAACAGAGGGGGAUUCUUACUUCUGGAUCCCACUGCCUGCCCACCCUAAACAAAGUCUUCAAGUGACAUUUGGCCCAACCAUCAACAGUGGUGACGGUUCAUACUACCUGACCGUAUCGCAUCCUGAGGGACUGAACACCAUGAGAUGAUACUGACCGAAGGACACUGCUGCAACUAUAGCCUGUGAUUAACUUUUGACAAAAUUGUUCGGUUGAGAUAAUAUCUCAACAUCACCACUUCCUCAAUAGGGCUUGUGAGAAUCACCUGAUGUAUAAGCAUUCCGUGAUCGAUCCAUGUCUGCGAGGAAUCUCGGAGAUAUAGUGCUUGGGUUCCCCUACUUCUGAUUCCAUGGUUUCACCUGUAAUCAUUCUUAGAGAGCCGGUUGCUUGGUUGCCGGUCUCAAUCGCAGUCUUGGAGAUGCAGGGUUCGAAGCUUCUGAUUAGCUUAUUGUCAAUAGCAAUCUCGUCUGCACACAGCGCAAUCCUUAUAUCCAACUGCACGGUAUAGGAUACAUGGACUUUCAUAAAAGUGGUCUAGGUAGAUUGCCCUUAAAAGGAGAAAGUAAUGUAUUUUGAGGAUGGUAUCCUGGACCAGCAGACGCCAAACUCAGUAUUCGACCAUAAAUCAAAUACGGCAACUCUCAUAUUCGUCACAUACGGUAUGUUUGGAGAGUCGAACUGCAUUGGGGUGCAGACUGCAGCUGACAUGGAAUACAUUCUUAACUUAUGGGAGACGGCAGGUUAGCAGUUAAAUGGGAGAAAGGAGAUACUUCAUCUUGCAAACCAGAACUUGCUUACAGGUGGUUAAGUAAACACCUUGGAGAGGUCCAUUGAUUUUCAAAGCAUUAUCACCUGCAUUCUGUGGUCAGUGAGAGAUUCUACCAUCAAAUCCUCGCUACAAAUACAAUUUAUGGCUGACAGGACUUGGCAGGUGUUUCAAAGUAAAUUUUUCCCCUUCCUUCGUAAUGAACAUUCUUGCGAAGUCUGUGCUGCCGAGGAGUUCUCGCCAUCUACAAGUUAGGGAAGUCUUGGUUAAGAUAAACGCCGACGUGUUUUCUACCCUUUCUUCCUGGAACAUCCCUGUAUUUCCAUAGAGAUUCCUUCAAAUAAAAGAAGUGCAAGUUCCUCUGGUGUGCUUUAGACUGAAUAGCCUGAAAGCGCUUCACACGUAUUCCCAAGCCUAAUCGAGAAACGUUUCUCAUGUUGAAACCAAGGAGCGGACAGGGAGCUCACUCGUACAGUUGAGAGGUAACUGCCGCGCUUUUUAUCCAUGACCUUCCACGGGAUAUCGUUAUGUUGUCGUGUGUACAGUGAUUACUUGACAUGAUGUCUUCCCCUCAGAGGACACCUUUAAACUAACUGUCAGUCAUGUGAUUUGUGAUAACUUGUGGUGGAACUUGUAUGACGGAAGUACUCUCUUCAUGAGGGGACAUAGACACCUUUAGACUGUUGUAUUCAUCAUGUAUGGUGCCAUGUCUUUUGUAAUUUCCUCCCACAUAAAGGAUAAAAUUGAUAUCAGUAUUGUGGGUCAUGAUCAUUUGUAAUUUUAUGUAAGUGACAACAGCCUUUCUUAACUAAUGAUUUGCAAAACCCAGAGAGCUAGCUUAUGUAUAUAUUGAUGUUUUCAUUCGAACCCUAGGACAACAUUAUCCUUGGUUUUGCAAGUACAUUGUAUAUGUUCUUGUAUAUAUAGUGUUAAAUAACCUUUCUGAAGAAAUAAACAAACGUUUAAAAAGAUAA